rnacentral:rRNA from 1 species
AUUGAACGCUGGCGGCAUGCCUUACACAUGCAAGUCGAACGGCAGCACGGGAGCAAUCCUGGUGGCGAGUGGCGAACGGGUGAGUAAAGUAUCGGAACGUGCCCAGUCGUGGGGGAUAACGUAGCGAAAGUUACGCUAAUACCGCAUACGAUCUAUGGAUGAAAGCGGGGGAUCGCAAGACCUUGCGCGAUUGGAUCGGCCGAUAUCAGAUUAGGUAGUUGGUGGGGUAAAGGCUCACCAAGCCGACGAUCUGUAGCUGGUCUGAGAGGACGACCAGCCACACUGGGACUGAGACACGGCCCAGACUCCUACGGGAGGCAGCAGUGGGGAAUUUUGGACAAUGGGCGCAAGCCUGAUCCAGCCAUGCCGCGUGCAGGAUGAAGGCCUUCGGGUUGUAAACUGCUUUUGUACGGAACGAAAAGGUUUGACUUAAUACGUUGGACUCAUGACGGUACCGUAAGAAUAAGCACCGGCUAACUACGUGCCAGCCGCCGCGGUAA